UGCAAAUCAACCUGAUGAGACUGUUGACUGAUACUUUUAUGAUUAUAUAUGAUGUAAGUGAACUUGAAUCUAUUGUAUAUAAUGCCUUGUCAUGUCAGAAGCCACUAGAUUUUAAUUGUUAUUAAGCCUCAUAAAUCAAUUUUUUAAUUUUGAUUCUAUUGAAAAAUAUUUUACUGUGACAAAACAAGCAAGUGCUGGUAUGAAUCAAAAUUUUAUUUGAAUUAAUGUUUUGUUGUUCAAAUUGAAUAGUGUGCUGUCAAUAUAUUUGAGAAAAAAGGUAGGGGUGCACACACAGAAGUUUAACUUUUCAGACUAUACAAACAUACUAUGAAGUGGUAUGUACAAACUUACAAAUUUUAGUUUAUUAUUGCAACAGUUUUUACCCAAA